rnacentral:rRNA from 1 species
UAUUUUCAGGAAGCUUUCGGGUGGAAUGAACUUAACUUAGCGGCGGACGGGUGAGUAACGCGUGGACAACCUACCCUGUACAGGGGGAUAACAAUGGGAAACCAUUGCUAAUACCCCAUAACACCUUUUAGGGGCAUCCCUUUAAGGUCAAAGAAUUUCGGUACAGGAUGGGUCCGCGUCUGAUUAGCUAGUUGGUGAGGUAAUGGCUCACCAAGGCGACGAUCAGUAGCCGGCCUGAGAGGGUGAACGGCCACACUGGAACUGAGACACGGUCCAGACUCCUACGGGAGGCAGCAGUGGGGAAUAUUGCACAAUGGGCGAAAGCCUGAUGCAGCAACGCCGCGUGAGCGAUGAAGGCUUUCGGGUCGUAAAGCUCUGUCCUAAGGGAAGAUAAUGACGGUACCUUAGGAGGAAGCCCCGGCUAACUACGUGCCAGCAGCCGCGGUAAUACGUAGGGGGCAAGCGUUAUCCGGAAUCAUUGGGCGUAAAGGGUGCGUAGGCGGCCCUAUAGGUCAGAGGUCAAAGGCUACGGCUCAACCGUAGUAAGCCUUUGAAACUGUAGGGCUUGAGUGCAGGAGAGGAGAGUGGAAUUCCUAGUGUAGCGGUGAAAUGCGUAGAUAUUAGGAGGAACACCAGUGGCGAAGGCGACUCUCUGGACUGCAACUGACGCUGAGGCACGAAAGCGUGGGGAGCGAACAGGAUUAGAUACCCUGGUAGUCCACGCCGUAAACGAUGAGUGCUAGGUGUCGGGGGUCGAACCUCGGUGCCGCAGCUAACGCAUUAAGCACUCCGCCUGGGGAGUACGUUCGCAAGAAUGAAACUCAAAGGAAUUGACGGGGACCCGCACAAGCAGCGGAGCAUGUGGUUUAAUUCGAAGCAACGCGAAGAACCUUACCUGGACUUGACAUCCCUCGGACCGCUUUUUAACCAAAGCCUUCCCUUCGGGGACUG